rnacentral:rRNA from 1 species
AGUGAACGCUGGCGGUAGGCCUAACACAUGCAAGUCGAACGGCAGCACAGUAAGAGCUUGCUCUUACGGGUGGCGAGUGGCGGACGGGUGAGGAAUACAUCGGAAUCUACUUUUUCGUGGGGGAUAACGUAGGGAAACUUACGCUAAUACCGCAUACGACCUACGGGUGUAAGCAGGGGAUUUUUGGACCUUGCGCGAUUGAAUGAGCCGAUGUCGGAUUAGCUAGUUGGCGGGGUAAAGGCCCACCAAGGCGACGAUCCGUAGCUGGUCUGAGAGGAUGAUCAGCCACACUGGAACUGAGACACGGUCCAGACUCCUACGGGAGGCAGCAGUGGGGAAUAUUGGACAAUGGGCGCAAGCCUGAUCCAGCCAUACCGCGUGGGUGAAGAAGGCCUUCGGGUUGUAAAGCCCUUUUGUUGGGAAAGAAAAGCAGCAGGUUAAUACCCCGCUGUUCUGACGGUACCCAAAGAAUAAGCACCGGCUAACUUCGUG